rnacentral:rRNA from 1 species
AGCAUUAAAGUUUGCUUGCAAACUUUAGAUGGCGACCGGCGCACGGGUGAGUAACACGUAUCCAACCUGCCGAUAACUCGGGGAUAGCCUUUCGAAAGAAAGAUUAAUACCCGAUGGUAUAUUUUCACCGCAUGGUGAAACUAUUAAAGAAUUUCGGUUAUCGAUGGGGAUGCGUUCCAUUAGGCAGUUGGUGAGGUAACGGCUCACCAAACCUUCGAUGGAUAGGGGUUCUGAGAGGAAGGUCCCCCACAUUGGAACUGAGACACGGUCCAAACUCCUACGGGAGGCAGCAGUGAGGAAUAUUGGUCAAUGGGCGCGAGCCUGAACCAGCCAAGUAGCGUGAAGGAUGACGGCCCUAUGGGUUGUAAACUUCUUUUAUAUGGGAAUAAAGUUUGGUAUGCAUACCAUUUUGUAUGUACCAUAUGAAUAAGGAUCGGCUAACUCCGUG